AACGAACGCUGGCGGCAGGCUUAACACAUGCAAGUCGAACGCCCCGCAAGGGGAGUGGCAGACGGGUGAGUAACGCGUGGGAAUCUACCUAGCUCUACGGAACAACAGUUGGAAACGACUGCUAAUACCGUAUACGCCCUAUGGGGGAAAGAUUUAUCGGAAUUAGAUGAGCCCGCGUUGGAUUAGCUAGUUGGUGAGGUAAUGGCUCACCAAGGCGACGAUCCAUAGCUGGUCUGAGAGGAUGAUCAGCCACACUGGGCCUGAGACACGGCCCGGACUCCUACGGGAGGCAGCAGUGGGGAAUAUUGGACAAUGGGCGCAAGCCUGAUCCAGCCAUGCCGCGUGAGUGAUGAAGGCCUUAGGGUUGUAAAGCUCUUUCACCGAUGAAGAUAAUGACGGUAGUCGGAGAAGAAGCCCCGGCUAACUUCGUGCCAGCCGCCGCGGUAAUAC
rnacentral:rRNA from 1 species